rnacentral:rRNA from 1 species
AUUGUACGCUGGCAGCAUGCCUUACACAUGCAAGUCGAACGGCAGCACGGGAGCAAUCCUGGUGGCGAGUGGCGAACGGGUGAGUAAAGUAUCGGAACGUGCCCAGUCGUGGGGGAUAACGUAGCGAAAGUUACGCUAAUACCGCAUACGAUCUAUGGAUGAAAGCGGGGGAUCGCAAGACCUCGCGCGAUUGGAGCGGCCGAUAUCAGAUUAGGUAGUUGGUGGGGUAAAGGCUCACCAAGCCGACGAUCUGUAGCUGGUCUGAGGGGACGACCAGCCACACUGGGACUGAGACACGGCCCAGACUCCUACGGGAGGCAGCAGUGGGGAAUUUUGGACAAUGGGCGAAAGCCUGAUCCAGCCAUGCCGCGUGCAGGAUGAAGGCCUUCGGGUUGUAAACUGCUUUUGUACGGAACGAAAAGGUUUGGCCUAAUAAGCUGAGCUCAUGACGGUACCGUAAGAAUAAGCACCGGCUAACUACGUGCCAGCCGCCGCGGUAA